rnacentral:rRNA from 1 species
CGUAUAUUAAAGUUGUUGCAGUUAAAAAGCUCGUAGUUGGAUUUGUGGCGUACGGUGUGUUCCGGGCACUUGUUGUCUGAGUAACCUGCUGUUGCCAUCCUUGGGUGGAACCUGUGUGGCAUUAGGUUGUCGUGCAGGGGAUGCCCACCUUUUACUGUGAAAAAAUUAGAGUGUUCAAAGCAGGCUUAUGCCGUUGAAUAUAUUAGCAUGGAAUAAUGAGAUAGGACUUUUUUACUAUUUUGUUGGUUUGCGUAAAGAGGUAAUGAUUAAUAGGGACAGUUGGGGG